ACCGAAUCAUGCCCAUCCCUAAUUAUGUCAGUUGGAUGGUUGAAGGUUUGCCACAUGACAUCAAAGUUAAAGUCAUAGAUGACGAAGCAGAGGAAGUAUCGGUGCUUGUGGAAAUGUUGGAGAUGAAUCAGACUCAAAAAAAAAAAAAAAAUGUUGGAGAUGAGUCUCCCUUCAGAGCGUCGUAGGAGGAGCUUGAGCCCUUUAUCAGUCAACUUCAAUACAGCAUCUUCGUUCACCGGUGGAUCAUGAUUGGUCUGUUGUCCAUGUAACAGUGGAGUUUCCAAGAGAGAGUUAAUUAUUAAUCUGCAUUACAAGAAAAAGC
rnacentral:lncRNA from 1 species